rnacentral:rRNA from 1 species
UCGUGGGGGAUAGCCCGGCGAAAGCCGGAUUAAUACCGCAUACGCCCUAAGGGGGAAAGCCGGGGACCGCAAGGCCUGSCGCGAAUGGGUUGGCCGAUGCCCGAUUAGCUAGUUGGCGGGGUAAGAGCCCACCAAGGCGAUGAUCGGUAGCUGGUCUGAGAGGAUGAUCAGCCACACUGGGACUGAGACACGGCCCAGACUCCUACGGGAGGCAGCAGUGGGGAAUUUUGGACAAUGGGGGAAACCCUGAUCCAGCCAUUCCKCGUGAGUGAAGAAGGCCUUCGGGUUGUAAAGCUCUUUUGUCCGGAACGAAACGGUUUGCGUGAAUAGCGCCGACUACUGACGGURCCGGAAGAAUAAGCACCGGCUAACUACGUGCCARCAGCCGCUGRUAAUACGUAGGGUGCGAGCGUUAAUCGGAAUUAC